CAAUCCAUGAGUAAAGUGGCGUACGGGUGAGUAACACGUGGAUGAUCUGCCCUAGAGUGGGGAAUAACCAGGGGAAACCUUGGCUAAUACCGCAUAAUCCCGAGAGGGGAAAGCCGAAAGGCGCUCAAGGAGGAGUCCGCGGUCGAUUAGCUAGUUGGUAGGGUAAAGGCCUACCAAGGCAACGAUCGAUAGCCGGCCUGAGAGGGCACACGGCCACACUGGCACUGAAACACGGGCCAG
rnacentral:rRNA from 1 species